rnacentral:rRNA from 1 species
UACGUAGGACCCAAGCGUUAUCCGGAAUUACUGGGCGUAAAGAGUUGCGUAGGUGGUAAUAUAAGCGAACAAUGAAAUCGUGUGGCUCAACCAUAUCGGCUAUUGUUCGAACUGUAUUACUUGAGUGCGAGAGAGGUAGCUGGAAUUUCCGGUGUAGGAGUGAAAUCCGUAGAUAUCGGAAGGAACACCAAUGGCGAAGGCAGGCUACUGGCUCGUUACUGACACUGAGGCACGAAAGCGUGGGUAGCAA